AGUAUGUAGCUUUAAUUAAAAGCCCCUCGCUUACACCGAGACCUUGCCCGAUAACCCCGGGUCAUCCUG
rnacentral:tRNA from 1 species